ACAGAUGAGGCAGUGGCCACCCCAUGUAGCCUCUUUCAGUACUCCUACUUCCCUCCGUCCAGCACCAUAUGCUCUUCCAGCCCAGCUUUACUCAUCAACACCCCAAUCUUGCACAUCAUGGUGUCUGGAGGAGCCCCCAGGAGGCUGGAUAGCAGCGGUGACACUUUUGGGAUUACCACAAGCCAUCUGAGGAAGUGGGACAAGGGCACUGUUCAUUGCCCAAGUGACUCCCUGCAGAGACAAGCACACAAACCCUGCCCCUCGAUGAGAUAUAUCCCCUCUUUUUGUUGGCACCUUGGAGCUCCUUCCCCAUCCACAGGCUUUCAUGGAUUUUCAAGCUCCAUCCCCAUCCUGCUCCGUGCAUGGGUGAGGCAACAACCAGCCCAACUCUGCACCCCAAUACCUACGGGCAGCCCCCCCAGCUGCCUUCCCAGGCUGAGCCUGUGAGCAAUUGCCGGGCAAAAAAUGACUUUCAGCUGGACUGUGUUAAGCAUGGGUGGUGCUGCCCUGAGCGAUGGCUGCAGGGAGUGGUGGCUCUAUUUAAGGCAGUAUCUGCCAGCCCUAUUGGGGCUAGCUGUGUUGGGGGUGAUGUCCUUGGUGCCAUCCUGUGGCCCCCAGGAGUGGCGUGCCUGUGCUGGUAGCCCUGGAGAAACCUUCCUGACUGCUCUGCUUUGGCGAUUGAAGGAACAGCGCCUGACUAAUGACACUGGACAGCAAGGAAAUGCAGUUGUCCUGGAAGACCAGGCAGGAUUGAAGGAGGUCUCAGAAGGGAAGUCAAGGGGCUGUCCUGUGGAAACGUGGCAGGAGUAUCACCCUGAAGGCGUGGAAAAGAUCUCUGCCACCUAACCAGGCUGUUGAAAUGUCAGAUGGUAAAAACAACCAAGAGUUCCAGAUGGGGCAGUCGGAAGAGAAACAUGCCGAAGAUGGUAAUGGGAAAGUUCUGGAUUCUCUCAGCUGGGAGUCCCAUGUCCUCACCUGUGACUUCCCAACCCAAUCACUGUGCAAGCCUUACGCAAAGCAGUAUGCCUUGAGGAAGUUCUUCAUAACCAGGUAAACCGAGCCAUUAGCCCAGCACGCGGAGCUCCCCCUCACUGCAGCGGCCAGACAGCUUUUUGGAGGCCUGGCAGACGCAACCUGGGCCAGCACCCUCACUUCAGCACGUGUGGCCAUCAUCCACCGCUCGGUGCAGCAUGUCACGUCUGUGUCUGCAGCGUGUUGCAGACUGACAGAAAUAACAAGAAGGAGCAAGUGCACUGCUCAUGUCCUCCUACCUGCUACUCUGCAGACAGGACUUCACCAUGCUGAGCAGCUCCUGAGCACAGCAAAUCUUUCUCACCCCCUUCAACUGUGUUAGCUGCUUCUUCAUCCCAGAGAUGCAUCUGGAGAAGCUUCUGUGCACGCUGAGCAUCCACUACGUUGCAUUCAGAGGUGGCUCCUUCCCCGUGCUGUGCAGAGCAUCAAGUCUGUCUCUCUCGGUGAUUCCUGGUGAAGCCUGAAACGCAGCCUGGCUCCUGCAGGACGGAAGGUGCUGUAAUAAAUGUUCAUGGAUGACCGCUUAGAGCCUUUAGAUGUGUAUCAGGAUGCUGCGUUGGUGGACGCUACACAGACAGCUACUGAGGAGACCAUCCCACUCAAGCUCUCAAACUGGAUACCAGAUAAAGGGCUGAAGUGGAAUAGCUCAGACAGCUGGCCACGGCAGUGACAAUGUCCAUGAAAUACUAAGAAAGGUUACAGGCAGUAGAAGGAGACUAUGGAAGAAGAGAGACUGCAGAAGAUUUAUCCUAGGUUUGCCUGAGCUUUUGGACCACUUGCAAGUAUUCAGCUUCUCCUGCUCCAUUUGCAAGUUUCUGUAUUUGAGCCUGUGCAACUGCUUUGGGAGCACUCCAUCCAGCUGUGGUACUGACAAUUAAAGAAGGUUGUUGAAAAAUUGGAGAUGUUUCAGAGAAGAGCCACAAGAAUGACUGAAGGAUUGGAAAACAUGCUUUAGCAGUGGAGCCCAUCUACUUAUCUUACCAAGCAGCAAUUCAAGAAAAGCUCAAGUCCGGUUUUCAAGCGAGCUAUAUAAGGAACAUAAGUUCAAAACCAGAAGCCCCUUUGGGCGUUAGUAAUAACGAGAAUCAGUAGUGAGAAGUUGGAUGAGAUCAUAUUGUAUAUAAGCCUUCAACUUCUGAUAGUGGACACCAUUCUUGGAGCAAAAGUCAGGGUUGUGAUUUGUUCUGUCAUUGGCGAGUAGAGAAUGGAUGCUUUUUCUACCUGCUUCAUGCAGGUUUUCAUUCAGAGCGGCCUUGAUGCUGGCGUCCUUUCAGAAACCAGCCCUAGCUGACCACUGCUGUUCUCUCUGGCUCUGUUAAUUUAUAAAUCAGAAUUCUCUCUCCAAAUUGUUAAUGAUCUAAAUAAACAAAAUCCUUCACAUGCAUCUGUUGUCUGAUCUGGACGCUAAGUUCUGUUCUCCAGUUUCACCAUAGGAUUGGAUAGGAAAAUCAAGAUUUUGUUGGAAGUAUUUGUAUGUCAGACUUUGUGUGAUUGCGUGAAGAGUCUAGGGAUUAGAUCUUCAUUUCAAAGUCAGUUCUUAAUGUUUCCAAUUCCCAUAUAAGCACAUUGGCUUUGGCAGGGGACAGGUCAGGAGGUUUCAAAUGAACAGUUAGAGUCAGGCUUCUUUUCUCAAAGAAGUCAUGGUCUGGCAGAAGGAUUCACCAACACUUAGGAAGUGGACCAGGGAGAGCGGGGAAGAGAAGACCCAUGUGUCUGGUGCCAACGUUCACUCUAACAAAGUCCAUGCUUGCAGUUCCCACUACCGAGCAGCUUGCCCUCCUUUUUAAGAAGGGGUUUUCUCCUGGGCAGCACAAAAGCAUGUUGGCAGUGGCACAGUGAGCAAGUCUGCCUUUCUGCUGCCCACACUGUUCGUGCUCUGUGAGAAGGAAGUCUGCCUGAAAUAUUCCCCAGCCCUUAAAAUAGAAAUGGGUAUGCCAUGUCUCACAGUUCACUGAAUUUAGGAUUGAAUCCAAAUAUUCUUUAUAUGUGAUCAAACAUCAAAUUUGGAGGAUGCCUGAGCCUUGAAUUUGGUUUCUUUCCAUUUUAGAAAUGCUACUUUCUGGUCUGCUUCUCUAGGACCACUUAAAAGUCUUCAAAUCAGACCAGAACUGUGGCUUUCCCCACUUCCCUGCUGGGCUGCUUUGAUUUCUGAGCUGAGUUUGCCAGAAAGGCCACUUUGCCUCUUUUUACAGUAAAGCAUUGUCACCAGGAAGAUACAAAGUUUGGAAAUUUUGUUGAAGUUUUGGCCUGAAAUGUCUUAUUCCAAGGCUUUUUGCUCACUUCCAUGUCAGAAUGCUUUCUCCAGAAGCUUCUUUAUAAGUUUCUGACUCUGUUAUGAUUGGAGUUGAUUUUGUAUUCUUAGUUUUCCCUAUUUCUCAUUCAUUUCUUUUUCUUUUUUUUUUUUUUUUAAAUCCCAAAUAUAAUGUUGUUUUAUGUGAAUAUUUAAGGAAGCAAUACACACCUCUUCAAGGCAGCGCACAGCCUUUCACCACGGAGGUCAUGUCUGUGGCAGCAUUGGGAAGCAUCCAUCCAACAGCAGUGGUGAUCUCGCUACGCUGGCUUUCUGGCCAGGAUUGAAUUUCACUCCCUGAGCACAUUUUUUCAUGGGAUUUUCAUCAGCAAUGCAUCUAAGUAUUGGUCAGCUGUAAACCCUCCAUCUUCUCUUCAUAGAAAGUAGUCCAAACCAUGAUUCCAGAUUGAUGGGGAUGCUGUCCAGGGCACAUGCUGUGCCAACAAUUUGGAGGGGUUCAUCUACGAACUUAGUGUUUGCAGUUUCUGAGCUUGUGCUAACUGCUCUAGCUCGCUGUCAGGCAUUCGUGCCAUUGGUGUAACAGCAAUGUAAGAGCAUUUGCUCUUGGAUUGCAAAAACUGGAUUGUACACCAAAUUGUCCAUGUUGUCUUCAAUGCCCUUGUUGUUUUGAAAUCUUUAAAAUCAAAAUCCAAGAGCUUUGUAGCACAGUAGGAAAGUGUUCUUUACCAACAUGUUCCCUCAUUCUUAUGAAGGCAUUUACUCUCCUGACUCUAAACUGAGUUGAAUAUUUUCAGUUAUUGACAGUUUUUAGACACUCAAGAUAGACUGUGUAGUGACUACAUGUAACAGAUUUGUAGAUCACUCAUAGAAAUAUCAUUAGUGAUAUUUUUAGUGCCUUUUCUGUUCUUUGAAAGAGCCUUGUUUGAAAUUUGUUUUGGUUCAUCUGGAGACCUCCGGAAUGACUCAGUGAUAAAACUGGAAAGAAAUCUUCCCUUCUCCAUUAUACUGUCAAUAUUGGGUCUCCUUAGUGAAAGAGAAUAUUGUUUUUGAAAUUAACUUCAUGUGAGUCCAAUGAAUAAUACUGAAAUAUAUUGUGCUAAAUCUUACAAGGCAAACAUUAUUUCUGGAGAUGUUCUGGAGGAGCAUUUUGUCGUGAACAAGAAAAAAGAGUUGUGGAAGAAUCCAAAUACAAGCUUGUUUUCUGUGUUUUGUAAUUUUUUUUAAAUUGUAAAAUAGAUGUAUUGUUUCAUCAGGUUGAAGAAGGCCUUGUUUUUAUACAUAUCUGAGUAAAGUUAUGUUAAUUUAGGAUUUCCACAUUCUCAAAAAAAAAAAAAGUAUCAAAACAGUAUCUUCAAUAUUUGUUUUUCUCUGAGCUUCUUAAAAAAAAAAAAAAAAAAAAGCUUAUUUUCUGGGCUGUGACUUUCAGGAACCCUAUUCUGCCUCAAAAGAGGCCCUGCAUGGUAAUUUUGCCCUUUUCACCCAAACUCUGUUUGCCAGUAAGCCUUCCAGCAGCAAGCUGUUCUGUUUGUGUUCAGAAAGCAAAGGGUGAAUCACUGUCUUAAUUAAGGUCAGUGUGUGAUAUCUUUGCUAUUCUUCCAGCUAUUCUAGGGUAGAGAAUAAAGAGUAAAAAACAGGACAUAGACUUUUUUCCCGCAGUCUUCAGUGACUGCCCAGUUUACAGGCAGGUCCUAAGCAUUCUCGGUGACAGUGUGCUUUGAUUGAAACUCACAUCUCCAUCCAAGUUUUUCCUCAAACUGCUGAGUAAGUUGAAUGCAGACCACAAAAUCUUUUGAAACAUCCUGUUUGCCUAGCUUAUCAUUAGGAAUAAAAGGAAGUUGGGCCAUUGGUCACUUUGAAAAUUUUUUCAGCAUAGGUCUUCAUAUUUUUGGUGCCCCUUUAAUGGGUUUGUAUGAAUCUAAAAUACAUCGGUAGAAAUAGCUCAAAUCAAACCAAUUUCUGAGACUCUAGCUGGAACGGUAUUUGAAAGUUGGGGCCAGGAACUUAAAAGGAAAAAAAAAAAAAAAGGUGGGGGGACAAAAGAAAGAGGGAAGUGGAUUCUACAUCGCUAUAGCAUUUUCUCUUGGUAACUUGUAUGAGUUUCAUCGCAGGCCCCAAGGCAAAGAAUUUUCUACUUGGGCUGCAGGAGGGAGUGUUAAAGUGUUGGAAGAGGCAGGAUGAGAAAGCUGCUACGUUGCUUCAGCGGUUGUUCUUAGGAAAGCAUCGUUGGCAAACUAGCACCAUAAUUUUGCAAAAGAGAAAAAAAAAAAGCUUGCCCAGGAAACAGAAUUUUGCUGACAAGGUGUUAAGAAAUGAAAUAUAUGCUUUUAUUUCAUUCUGUUCUCUAGAGGGAUUUAGCAUUUUGCUGUGUAGCUCUUUCAUACCAAACUUUCAAAGUAUAGCCAGUCUGUCAGCCAGCAUGCUUUUUAAAGGUGCAAUACAGCUCUAUUUUCAGAACUCCAUCUUAUUUGAAAUAUGUUUAAUUUGUUGUUGUUUCUGGUUUACUGUGAGAGGCUGGGCAUCAAGGUAUGUAAAAGUAGUAGAAGCAUCGUUGAAUCCUACAGGAUCAAAAAUGGACAGAAGUCAUUUGUGUUAGGUUGUGUGUGGCUCACACAGAAGACAGAUCUCACAUGGGUUCCUUAGUACCUCUUGUAGGCUGAUCUCUGUGCUCAUCCCUCCAUGCCCAUCUGUCACUGCUGGUGCUCCAUCUGGAUUAUUGGCAUCAGUUUUUAAAACACACUAUGGCAGUGCUAAACAACAGUGUUAUUACCAAAGGCCUUCUCCAUCUAACCUGGCCUUGAACGCUUCCAGGAAUGGGGCAUCCACAAGUUCUCUGGGCAACCUGUUCCAGUGCCUCACCACCCUCAUAGUAAAGAAUUUCAUCCUAAUAUCUAAUCUAAACCUACCCUUUUUUAGUUUAAAGCCAUUCCCCCUUGUCCUAUCACCAUACUCCCUGACAGGGUCCCUUCCCAACUUAGGCCCCCUUUAGGUACUAGAAAGCCCCUGUAAGUUCUCCCUGGAGCCUUCUCAUCUCCAUGCUGAAUAACCCCAACUCCCUCAGCCUGCCUUCAUGGGAGAGGUGCUCCAGACCUUUGAUCAUCUUCAUGGACUCCUCUGGACUCGUUCUAAUAGGUCCAUGUCUUUUUUGUACUGGGGGCCCCAGAGCUGAACACAGUGCUCCAGUCGGGGUCUCAUGAGAGCAAAGUAGAGGGGGAUCUGGAUGAGAAGCAGUGUUUGGAUUCGGACCAUUGUCAUGACCUUUCAGUAGCUUUGGAACAGGAAAAGAAAAGAAGAAAAGAGCUUUGGCUCGUAUCUUGUGGAUUGUCUGUCACCAUUUAGAGACUUCAGAGACUGUCCUGGAAAGGUGAGUGUCUCUCCUGGGGGGAGGUGGGAAGGAUGUUUUUUGUCUUCAGCUCGUAUAGACAUAAGAGCUCUUGUAGUUAUCCCCCACCAAGGCACACUAAGUAGGGAUGCCUCACAAGAUGAUAUAAGUGCUGUAUUUUAUGACCUGAAUGCAAAACCUGUAUUAGUUUCAACCUGUUUCUGGUAACAUGUGUCUAAUGCUAAAUUAUCUCUUUUAUGUGGUUUGUGUAUUACACGCUAACCUCAGAUUGCUUUCAUGUGUUCAACUUUCGGGAGUUCAAGAGUUUUGCAGGAAGAGCAGUAAAAUUGUGUUUUUGUCAAUCUCUUUAGUUUUGGGGCCAAGGUGGAUUUCUAAUGGGCAAUUUGAACAGCAACGAUUGCUUGGAAGAGCAGGCGUAAGCAGCUUGCAUGUUGCAGACAUGUGCAUGUGUAUGGGAGGCGACUGCCAAGGAAUCCCAUUUGGGAAGAGCUGUAACAAUGCAAGUCUAAGGCUAAAACAACACGGUGAUGAGCAGAUCAGGAUGGACUGAGAAAUAGCAUUACAGACUUGUUUUCUCAAGCAGCUGUUUUUGGAGAUGUAGAUUCAGCAUGUAAAUGGUUCAUGCUGAGUUGUGAACUACAAAGGGGGAGCUGGGAGUGCUAGGGCUGCUGGUGUCCCUUCUUGCUGAGCUGCGUGAACCUGAACCAGGUUUUUGGAGGAAACUCAUUUUUUAAACUAGUUUUGGAUGCUUCGAGAAAUGUUUUUGAUGAGUGACCCUACAGCUAGGUAUUGAGAUAGGGUCAGUACCAGCAUGAUAAUAGUCACGGAGACUUUGUGCUUUCCACAGUGCCAUGUGGAUUUCCUAAUCUCUUCCCUUUAAAGCCAGGUCCCUUUAUACCACCUGGACCUACAGCGGUCUUCCAGACACUACCUGCAUGAAGGACGGGGCGGUUACGAGGGGCUGUAUUCAUUCAUGAGGUGAGGCAGGGGCAGGGAGACUGAGUCGUGGCUGGGCAACACCAUGGUUACAGCGGGGCCCAGGGAGAGGAGCAGAGGCACGCCGGCAUGUUGGGGCCGCGUGCCGCAGAUACCCCUCCCAGGCCGCCCACGGCCAAGGCCUGUCACUGUGAUGGAUGCCAUAGCGUGCGCUGGCGGACAGCAUGUUCCUCACGGCCUGUCUCCCUCUGCCCUGCUCAAAACAGGGAUCCAAGGGGCAAGGCAUCGGGAAGCCCCGAACCUCCCUGUUUGUUGUAGCACCUGCUUUGCCCUUCCACGCCUCUAGCCCUCCUUGGAGGAAGAGGUGGGACCAUUCCUUCUGUCUCUUCCUGAGUGGGAUGAUCUCAGCAUGAGUCAUUCGCGGCACGAUAGGGACCCUGUUUCUUUGGAAACGGUGCCCAACGAGCAGCUGCACGGCUCAGCACAUCUCUGACGCAGCUUCUGGAAUAGGGCAGGGCACCUUCCUAACUGAAGCAUUCAAGGGCAAGGCUUGAGCGUGCUAUAAUUUUGUGCGUGGCUCUUGCCUGAGAGCAGGAUGCGAUGAGUAGAAGAGGGUGGGGAUGCUGGGAAUCACUUUCUCUCAUUCUUGGUGUCCCCUUAGUGUCUGCCAAGUAUCUACUUCUUGGCCUGUAGGGAAAGUUGAAGGAGAGGUGAGCUCUCUGCUGGAGAUGUUGGCUGUAACAUAAAGGAAGAUCUUGGUUUGUUCGUCACUGGUGUCUCAGUAGGGUUUCAGUGGCUGAGGAUUACUGGUGAAAUCUCCAUUUGAGUGCCAGCCUUUUUGCUGUGAGAAACUACCUUGCUUUUGCUUGAGUUUUCUUCUCUGGUCAUCUUUUUUAAUGUAUCUCAUGAGAUUCUCAAAUAUCUCCUACACCAACACUUCCCUUUCCUCACUGAGGUCUACCCUUCCUUUGAGGAAAACAGUACCCUAAAGCCAUUUGCUUGGUCUGAGUGACAUGCUGUUCAGUUAAUGAACCAGCACAGCUGUGUUGAAGCAUCUCAGCAAUGAAUACAGGCGAAAAUAGAAGCCACAGGCGGGAAACAUGCAAACCCUUCCUGUGCCAGAGACAAAAUCCAGGGAAUGCUGGCUUGGAUUGCUGGUUUUUAACGCCUCUCACUAAUUAAAUCCUAGUCUAUAGUCCACUUGUCCACUGUGUCUGAGAUGGUGUCUUAACAUCUUUCUGGAUGCAUUUCCACUGGGGCAUCUUCCAUUAACCACAGAAACCCUCACGCAUCACCUUUAAAGCAGACAGAUGUAAUUAGGUUGGGUUUUGGAAGGUUGGUUUGUUACAGGCAAAUAGCCCAUCACAAAGUUUGAAGGGCCAGCUUGUCCAGUUUUUAACCUCACAAAGAUUUUGUUACAGUUAAUCCUUUACUGCUGGUCCCUGCACCAUGUUCCAAGUAGCUUAGAUGAUACAGCUUAAGUCUAUUUAAAAGGAGGGGUGGAGUACUUGUCCCACUCAUUCCAGCAAAGAAACAAACCCAGCCGGCCAAAAGGUUUCAAGUAAGAUUGGGUGACAGUCAGAACAUGAAGAUAUUUGGUUUGGUUAACAAUCCAAGUGUGGUGAGUGGAAGAAAGUUAUCUAGUUUUUAAUCAACUAAAGAUUUGUGUAAUGCUGCAUGUAGAAGUGGGAGUAGUACUUACUACAUAGCCAAUUCUCAUAAUUUUAUGAAUUUUGCAAUGAUAUGCUUUUGGAAAAAAAAAUCUGUUAUUAUAUAAGAAAAUCAGAUUUCAUUUAAAAAAGUGUUUCUAGCCCUUGCACUUAUGUAGAAUACUACCUAAGUACAUCCCAAAGUAAAACGAACAAAACAAGCAACAACAAACAAAAGCAAAGCCUCCCUCAAACUUUAUGGUUACUCAAUCAAGCCCUGUACACUCAUGUUCCAUUUUUCAUUUGACUUUUUUUGUUGUUGGCAUUUCUGCAAUUGUAAGUCAAUGGAUACCCUGAAGGAAAGAUUUGGUCUUUCUUGCCUGAGCUUGCCCUGCUAAACGCUAUUGGUAAUAAAUAUUAUCCCAAGUGACUGUGCUGUAAGUAAUGGCAUUCCUUCCCCAAAGAUCACCCAAAAAAUCACAGUUCAUAUUGAGAAAGUACUGCUGGGAGGAAAGGUGUAGAUGACUUUUGUCUCUGCUCUUAAUGUUAGAUGCAGCUCACGUGUGCAUCAGGAACCAGAUGGACCCAUUGGGAUCAGAGCAAUCUCUAGUCCUGAACUCUGUCUCACUUUUGCUGGUGAAGCCCAGAUCUGAGGCUGUGCUCAAGCCAGUCUCUUCUUCCUCUCCUCUAAGCAAGCAAUGAAAUGGCAGCCCCUCUCCUGAGGAGGAAACACAGUACCUACCCCGCACUUGGUCUGGCAGCUCAGGCCGGCUGUGCACCAGCCCAGCAGCAGAAAGUCCAAGCUCACUCUUCCUAAGCAAGAACCACUGCCUUGGGCCCAAAGCCAAGCUUGCAGCCACACGUACAGAGAAGAAGCACAGAGGGUAACAAACUCUGCAUUUAAGACCACCCUUGACCCAUGCUUUCACCAGCACCAUUGCUCCAGCAUAGAAGUGGGGAGGCUUCCAUGCAGACAAAACUGUAAGGGCUGCAUUGUCAUCUCUCUGGGACGGCUCCUAAUGGUUGAAAAGUUCUUCACUUAAGUUCAUGAUCAUCACAGGUCCGGUUACCAAAAGAGAUUCAUCUGUUUGAACCUUGAUAUGUGUGAGUCUACUCACUGGAAACAAGCAGCCGAUUUAAAAAGAUAUUGGAAGAACAGCUUGGACACAGAGAAAGGAAUGACCUGGAGUCUUAAAAAACAGACAAGCUUUUCAGUAGCUUGGCACUUGGAACAAGAAGCUAAAAGUCACAUAAGAGUGACCAGUAUCCUGUCUUGCCAGGGAGGUCAACAGAAGUUUAGCUGCUGACUUGGUGAACAGGACUGCAACCCGUAUCUGUGAUUAGUGAUGAAAUGAAACCCACGGCUUGAAAUCAUUUAUCCAGCGUAUCCGAUCAAACACAAACAUCCUCUGCACUUGGAAAUAAAUGAGGGUUGGAGCCAGCUCGCCUCUGCAGAGUUGCAUGUGAAGAUAAGGGACCUGUGAGACGAAAGGAGAAAGCUGAUGGAACAGCUGGCAAGGUCUGCCCACCAUGAGAUGCAGUAACGUCAGAAACAAUCCGUGUGGCUCCUCAGCAUCCCUGUGGCACCUGCAGCUGCCAGGAAAGAGGGUCCUUGUGCUCAGGCAGCCCCACCGAAUGGCAACAGCCCCUCCAGUUUUGUUCUACUCCUCCGUUUCACAGCAGUAGGUUUUUGGGGAUCAAAGCUGAAAAUAAAGCCUGACUUUGAGUUCCAGUGUCACUGUUCAGUGAUUUUAAUUGGGAAAUUCAUGUUACUUUCCCUUUUCUUUUUUUCUCCCCCCUCUGUAGCAUGCCAACUCUAGAAGCAGAGCAGAAGGUUCAGGCUCUCAGAGUACCAUG